UGGGGAAUAUUGCACAAUGGGCGCAAGCCUGAUGCAGCAACGCCGCGUGAGGGAUGACGGCCUUCGGGUUGUAAACCUCUUUUAGCAGGGAAGAAGCGAGAGUGACGGUACCUGCAGAAAAAGCACCGGCUAACUACGU
rnacentral:rRNA from 1 species